rnacentral:rRNA from 1 species
UACGGAGGGUGCAAGCGUUAUCCGGAUUUACUGGGUUUAAAGGGUGCGUAGGUGGGUAGGUAAGUCAGUGGUGAAAUCUUCGAGCUUAACUCGGAAACUGCCAUUGAUACUAUUUAUCUUGAAUACUUUGGAGGUAAGCGGAAUAUGUCAUGUAGCGGUGAAAUGCUUAGAUAUGACAUAGAACACCAAUUGCGUAGGCAGCUUACUACACGAUCAUUGACGCUGAGGCACGAAAGCGUGGGGAGCAAACAGG